GGUCAAGUGAAGAAGCGCAUACGGUGGAUGCCUUGGCAGUCAGAGGCGAUGAAAGACGUGGUAGCCUGCGAAAAGCUUCGGGGAGUCGGCAAACAGACUUUGAUCCGGAGAUGUCUGAAUGGGGGAACCCAGCCAUCAUAAGAUGGUUACCUUACACUGAAUACAUAGGUGUAUGGAGCGAACCAGGGGAACUGAAACAUCUAAGUACCCUGAGGAAAAGAAAUCAACCGAGAUUCCCUUAGUAGUGGCGAGCGAACGGGGACUAGCCCUUAAGUGGCUUUGAGAUUAGCGGAACGCUCUGGAAAGUGCGGCCAUAGUGGGUGAUAGCCCUGUACGCGAAAAUCUCUUAGUCAUGAAAUCGAGUAGGACGGAGCACGAGAAACUUUGUCUGAAUAUGGGGGGACCAUCCUCCAAGGCUAAAUACUACUGACUGACCGAUAGUGAACUAGUACCGUGAGGGAAAGGCGAAAAGAACCCCGGAGAGGGGAGUGAAAUAGAUCCUGAAACCGUAUGCGUACAAGCAGUGGGAGCCCACUUUGUUGGGUGACUGCGUACCUUUUGUAUAAUGGGUCAGCGACUUAUUUUCAGUGGCGAGCUUAACCGAAUAGGGGAGGCGUAGCGAAAGCGAGUCUUAAUAGGGCGUCUAGUCGCUGGGAAUAGACCCGAAACCGGGCGAUCUAUCCAUGGGCAGGUUGAAGGUUGGGUAACACUAACUGGAGGACCGAACCGACUACCGUUGAAAAGUUAGCGGAUGACCUGUGGAUCGGAGUGAAAGGCUAAUCAAGCUCGGAGAUAGCUGGUUCUCCUCGAAAGCUAUUUAGGUAGCGCCUCAUGUAUCACUGUAGGGGGUAGAGCACUGUUUCGGCUAGGGGGUCAUCCCGACUUACCAAACCGAUGCAAACUCCGAAUACCUACAAGUGCCGAGCAUGGGAGACACACGGCGGGUGCUAACGUCCGUCGUGAAAAGGGAAACAACCCAGACCGUCAGCUAAGGUCCCAAAGUUAUGGUUAAGUGGGAAACGAUGUGGGAAGGCUUAGACAGCUAGGAGGUUGGCUUAGAAGCAGCCACCCUUUAAAGAAAGCGUAAUAGCUCACUAGUCGAGUCGGCCUGCGCGGAAGAUGUAACGGGGCUCAAACCAUACACCGAAGCUACGGGUAUCACGUAAGUGAUGCGGUAGAGGAGCGUUCUGUAAGCCUGUGAAGGUGAGUUGAGAAGCUUGCUGGAGGUAUCAGAAGUGCGAAUGCUGACAUGAGUAACGACAAUGGGUGUGAAAAACACCCACGCCGAAAGACCAAGGUUUCCUGCGCAACGUUAAUCGACGCAGGGUUAGUCGGUCCCUAAGGCGAGGCUGAAAAGCGUAGUCGAUGGAAAACAGGUUAAUAUUCCUGUACUUCUGGUUAUUGCGAUGGAGGGACGGAGAAGGCUAGGCCAGCUUGGCGUUGGUUGUCCAAGUUUAAGGUGGUAGGCUGGAAUCUUAGGUAAAUCCGGGAUUCUAAGGCCGAGAGCUGAUGACGAGUCGUCUUUUAGACGACGAAGUGGUUGAUGCCAUGCUUCCAAGAAAAGCUUCUAAGCUUCAGGUAACCAGGAACCGUACCCCAAACCGACACAGGUGGUUGGGUAGAGAAUACCAAGGCGCUUGAGAGAACUCGGGUGAAGGAACUAGGCAAAAUGGCACCGUAACUUCGGGAGAAGGUGCGCCGGUGAGGGUGAAGGACUUGCUCCGUAAGCUCAUGCCGGUCGAAGAUACCAGGCCGCUGCGACUGUUUAUUAAAAACACAGCACUCUGCAAACACGAAAGUGGACGUAUAGGGUGUGACGCCUGCCCGGUGCCGGAAGGUUAAUUGAUGGGGUUAGCUAACGCGAAGCUCUUGAUCGAAGCCCCGGUAAACGGCGGCCGUAACUAUAACGGUCCUAAGGUAGCGAAAUUCCUUGUCGGGUAAGUUCCGACCUGCACGAAUGGCGUAACGAUGGCGGCGCUGUCUCCACCCGAGACUCAGUGAAAUUGAAAUCGCUGUGAAGAUGCAGUGUAUCCGCGGCUAGACGGAAAGACCCCGUGAACCUUUACUAUAGCUUUGCACUGGACUUUGAAUUUGCUUGUGUAGGAUAGGUGGGAGGCUUUGAAGCGUGGACGCCAGUCUGCGUGGAGCCAACCUUGAAAUACCACCCUGGCAACUUUGAGGUUCUAACUCAGGUCCGUUAUCCGGAUCGAGGACAGUGUAUGGUGGGUAGUUUGACUGGGGCGGUCUCCUCCUAAAGAGUAACGGAGGAGUACGAAGGUGCGCUCAGACCGGUCGGAAAUCGGUCGUAGAGUAUAAAGGCAAAAGCGCGCUUGACUGCGAGACAGACACGUCGAGCAGGUACGAAAGUAGGUCUUAGUGAUCCGGUGGUUCUGUAUGGAAGGGCCAUCGCUCAACGGAUAAAAGGUACUCCGGGGAUAACAGGCUGAUACCGCCCAAGAGUUCAUAUCGACGGCGGUGUUUGGCACCUCGAUGUCGGCUCAUCACAUCCUGGGGCUGAAGCCGGUCCCAAGGGUAUGGCUGUUCGCCAUUUAAAGUGGUACGCGAGCUGGGUUUAGAACGUCGUGAGACAGUUCGGUCCCUAUCUGCCGUGGACGUUUGAGAUUUGAGAGGGGCUGCUCCUAGUACGAGAGGACCGGAGUGGACGAACCUCUGGUGUUCCGGUUGUCACGCCAGUGGCAUUGCCGGGUAGCUAUGUUCGGAAUAGAUAACCGCUGAAAGCAUCUAAGCGGGAAACUAGCCUCAAGAUGAGAUCUCACUGGAACCUUGAGUUCCCUGAAGGGCCGUCGAAGACUACGACGUUGAUAGGUUGGGUGUGUAAGCGCUGUGAGGCGUUGAGCUAACCAAUACUAAUUGCCCGUGAGGCUUGACCAU
rnacentral:rRNA from 2 species